rnacentral:misc_RNA from 1 species
GAAAUGCGAUAAGUAAUGUGAAUUGCAGAAUUCAGUGAAUCAUCGAAUCUUUGAACGCACAUUGCGCCCCUUGGUAUUCCGAGGGGCAUGCCUGUUCGAGCGUCAUUGCAACCCUCAAGCUUUGCUUGGUAUUGAGCUUUUCGCCGGAGACGGCGUGCUCGAAAAUUAGUGGCGGUCCGGGGAGACUUCAAGCGCAGUAAAAACUUUCCGCUUUCGAGGUCCUCGCCUGCGAUCAGCCGUAAACCCCCCCCAACUUUUCAAUGAUUGACCUCGGAUCAGGUAGGGAUACCCGCUGAACUUAA